CAUUCUUUCCAAAGUUGGCCCGUAUAAGCUGUUCAGCACGGACCUAAAUAGAUUGAAGCCGGGAAUGGAACUAGAAAGUGAGAUAAUAAAUGCCUAUCUGAGGAUUUUAUCAGAGAGCCACAAGGAAGAAAGACAUAAAAAGAUCAAAAUGAUAGACAGUUCUAUGAUGACUGCAAUGUGGGAAGGAAAAAAAUACAAAGCAUUUCGGGAUAAUAUUUUGGACUACGAUAUGAUAAUUGGAUCAGCAAACCAAAACCUACACUGGACCCUAA